GACGAACGCUGGCGGCGUGCUUAACACAUGCAAGUCGAACGGUGAAAGCGGAGCUUGCUCCGCUGGAUCAGUGGCGAACGGGUGAGUAACACGUGGGCAACCUGCCCCUCACUUCGGGAUAACUCCGGAAAACCGGGGCUAAUACCGGAUACGACCUCCUUGGGCAUCCUGGGAGGUGGAAAGUUUUUCGGUGAGGGAUGGGCCCGCGGCCUAUCAGCUUGUUGGUGAGGUAGUGGCUCACCAAGGCGACGACGGGUAGCCGGCCUGAGAGGGCGACCGGCCACACUGGGACUGAGACACGGCCCAGACUCCUACGGGAGGCAGCAGUGGGGAAUAUUGCGCAAUGGGCGAAAGCCUGACGCAGCAACGCCGCGUGCGGGAUGAAGGCCUUCGGGUUGUAAACCGCUUUCAGCAGGGAAGAAGCCGCAAGGUGACGGUACCUGCAGAAGAAGCACCGGCUAACUACGUGCCAGCCGCCGCCGUAA
rnacentral:rRNA from 1 species